CGGAGGGUGCGAGCGUUGUCCGGAAUCAUUGGGCGUAAAGGGCGCGUAGGUGGCGGCUUAAGCGUGCGGUGAAAGCUCGGGGCUCAACCCCGAGUCGGCCGUGCGAACUGAGUCGCUUGAGCACUGUAGAGGCAGGCGGAAUUCCGGGUGUAGCGGUGGAAUGCGUAGAGAUCCGGAAGAACACCGGUGGCGAAGGCGGCCUGCUGGGCAGUAGCUGACACUGAGGCGCGACAGCGUGGGGAGCAAACAGGAUUAGAUACCCUGGUAGUCCACGCCGUAAACGAUGGGCACUUGGCGCUUGGGGGAGCGACCCCCCGAGGGCCGGCGCUAACGCAUUAAGUGCCCCGCCUGGGGAGUACGGCCGCAAGGCUG
rnacentral:rRNA from 1 species